GAACGUGGUACAACCAUCUCUGCUAACGUUUCAUAUUGCUUAACCCAGUCAUUGUAAUUUACCUUUGGUACAAUCACUAAUAGCGUGACCAAAUAUUCUGAAUCAAGUACAAAGUCCUCUUUCUUUACAAUAUCAGCAAGACUUCUGGUUAGCAAGCUUCCCGCAUUCUUUCUUUCCAAAUUCUGAAGGUUCCCUUUUAGAUUAUUGUAUGCCGAAGCUCUUGCUUUAAGAUCAUUGUCAAUCUGGUUUACUCCCUUUGCAAUAAUUUCUGAAAUAUUCUUCAAUGAUUGCUUUAUCGGAUAUUUGGCCAUAUCCCACUGGAACCUUGUUAUAUAGGUGACCAAGUCAACUCCAUUAGCCAGAAGAUUUUCCUGAACUUUAUCUUUACUGUCUUCUAAAACAUCAGCCAUAUACUGGGCCACCUUCUUUACAACACUCUCCACAAACGCAUCCAGCUUAGCCAGCUCAUCUGACAGACCAACCAAAACAUCCAGUGUGCCAACCUUCAGGUCUGGAAUAUUGAACUUGGAAUUAGUAGAGAGAUUGUUAUUUUUUGUAGUUGCUGCAUGUAGUUUCUCCCAUGUCUGUUGACAGGUUUUUUCCCCAGGAGCAGAAAUCAGCCAAAACUCAGUCAUCUUUGUGUCUCUAUUGUGAUGCUUUCUGCUUCUGAAGACAGAGGCAAGAUGCCGUCACUGCUCCAUCCCGCGCCGCAGCCGCGCACCGCCCGCACAACCACCGCC
rnacentral:lncRNA from 1 species